rnacentral:lncRNA from 1 species
CUGUUAUAAAAAAUAUACUGAAUAGUUCUGCUAAACAGGGUGUUUUUCUGUGCAUGAAAACUAAGACAGAAUGUCCUGCAGAAUUCAAAACUGGUACAAAAGAGGUCUCUUUUCUUACAUGAGAUAAAUAAUGUAAGAAAAUUAACAUUAGUAUAUUCAGAAGUAAUAACUAUUUUUAUUUACUCUGACAGAGACAAGAUAUCUUCUGUGAGUUCAUAGCAGCAUUUUCAAUAUAGAAGACAGUAGUGAUUCCAUGCUGGCUCUAUGAAUCAUGAACCCUUUCUGUUUUAAUUUGUGAGCACAAAAUAUUUGUGAACCUGAAUUCCAUUACAUUUGCAAAUGUAUUUUACUGGAUGAAGUACUGCCUUAUGCAAUUUACACCUCCAUUGCCUGUAAAAAUAGUGCAAUCCAAAAGGACACCAGUGAGAGCUAUGGCAUAGUAAAUAAGGCAUGGUGUACUCCUUUGAACUUCAUAUAUUGCAUAUACAUUUUAGAUGAGUUCUGCUUCAUCUUAGAAAAGUUGGGAGAUGCCUUGAGGAAAAACAAUGGUAAUGCCUGGAAAAAAUGCAGAAGUGUGGUGAAGAAGGCAGGUAAUCACUUUCUUUAAAUUUUUGCUUAGAAAUGAUAAAUUCAAGCCUAUGACUACACCAUUAUCUUAAAGAAUGCUUAGUUAAAGUUACUGAAUCUUGUAUGCAGUGCUGGCUCCCUCAUCCCCUUGCUCUCCAACCAUGGUUCCUG